rnacentral:rRNA from 1 species
UACAGAGGGUGCGAGCGUUGUCCGGAAUCACUGGGCGUAAAGGGCGCGUAGGUGGCUCGUUAAGCGUGUGGUGAAAGCCUGGGGCUCAACCCCAGGUCUGCCGUGCGAACUGGCGAGCUUGAGCAGAGUAGAGGCGGGUGGAAUUUCCGGUGUAGCGGUGGAAUGCGUAGAGAUCGGGAAGAACAUCAGUGGCGAAGGCGGGUCUCUGGGCAGUAACUGACGCUGAGGAGCGAAAGCGUGGGGAGCGAACAGG